UUCCUACGGGAGGCAGCAGUGGGGAAUAUUGCACAAUGGGCGGAAGCCUGAUGCAGCAACGCCGCGUGCGGGAUGACGGCCUUCGGGUUGUAAACCGCUUUCGCCUGUGACGAAGCGUGAGUGACGGUAAUGGGUAAAGAAGCACCGGCUAACUACGUGCCAGCAGCCGCGG
rnacentral:rRNA from 1 species